GCCAACGUGCAAUUUUUUCAGUGUACCUGUGGGUGAGAGUGAGCCAGAAUUGUCAUGUUGUUCAAAAAUCCGUCUCUGACUUGAAAUUUAUCUGGGUGUCUGGGAUUUGCCAAAUACAUCUGGAAACCUGGCAACGCUGAUGUGAGCUGUCAGAAAUCCCUUUUUCAUUUCCCUCUUUCUUUUUUGCUUUUUUUCUUCGUUGCCUCCAUUUCAAUUGUUUGAUGCGCUUUCAAAAUAGGAUAGAAAGAUUUGAGUAGUGAACGUGAAGAAUAUUUUGACUAAGUGACAGGUUACAACUGAUGUGUAAUUAGACGUAAAGAGAAAUCAAGCCAAGAAGCCACAGUUGCUGUUCCCUUUCCUGCAGCUACUCGUAGCAAUCGCAUUUCUAGUGGCCUUCAAUUUGCCUCAAACUUGUUGAUAGGUUAUCAUGGAACAUAUUUUUGAUGCAGACGGCAACAUAUACUGGGUACAAUGUAUCCCUGGUGAUGGAGAUUGCCUGUACGGCUCUCUUGUCCAUCAAAUCUAUGGAGUUUCGCCGGACAAUACCUUAUUCAAACGCUAUAUUGUUCAGUUGAGAGAGUCAGUUGUUUCUGAAAUAAAACGGAAUUUACAUCUA